rnacentral:rRNA from 1 species
AGCUACGGCCAUACAUAGAUGAAAAUACCGGAUCCCGUCCGAUCUCCGAAGUCAAGCAUCUAAUGGCGACGUCAGUACUGUGAUGGGGGACCGCACGGGAAUACGUCGUGCUGUAGUU